GGCGUGGUAGCUCAGUUGGUUAGAGCGCAUGAUUCAUACUCAUGAGGUCGGCAGUUCGACUCUGCCCCACGCUA
rnacentral:tRNA from 1 species